AUACGGAGGAUCCGAGCGUUAUCCGGAUUUAUUGGGUCUAAAGGGUGCGCAGGCGGCCAUUUAAGUCAGCGGUUAAAUCGUGGGGCUCAACCCCAUUCUGCCGUUGAUACUGGGUGGCUUGAUUGCGGUCGAGGUUGGCGGAAUUCGUUGUGUAGCGGGGAAAUGCAUAGAUAUGACGAAGAACACCGAUUGCGUAGGCAGCUGACCAGACCGCAAAUGACGCUCAUGCACGAAAGUGCGGGGAUCGAACAGGAUUAGAUACCCUGGUAGUCCGCACAGUAAACGAUGAAUACUUGUUUUCGGCGAUAUAAUGUCGGAGGCAAAGCGAAAGCGAUAAGUAUUCCACCUGGGGAGUACGCCGGCAACGGUGAAACUCAAAUGAAUUGGCGGGG
rnacentral:rRNA from 1 species